AGAAAACUAUAUGGUUAUUCUGUCUCAUGAGCCUCCGACUAGAACUCUUUAACAAUUCAUGCCUUGUGCUGAAAGAGAAUGAGAGAGGAUGCUAUUUUAUCUUAAACUUCAAAGAGAUCGAGGAGUGUGGAGGGGAGUGUGGAAAGGUAGCUAGCUGUUGGGAAAAUAUCAUGGUGGCUUAUUUUAUCUCUGUGCACGUUUGCCAGUUGGAAGGAGAUUGAAAUGAAAUAAAAACAAUUUCUACCACGUGACAGAAAUUCUCUGGCCCAAGUAGCAGAAAGCUGUUUUCUUCCCUUGGUUCCUUUAGUGUGGAUCAUCGUAUCCUGUGGGAGUGUGCAGAAAACCUAAUUAUUCCAAAUUCAUGUUCUAAAUUUAUAGGUCUGAAAGAGGUGAAAUGUGGUUGACCUUUCUUACCUGCUCACAAGUUUAACCGCAUGGUCUGGGGGAGAUGCUGCUUGUUUCUGGGUUCGAACAAGCUCAAGGUGUGACUAGAAAGAAGCCGACAGGCUACGGAGGUGCUUGGAGAUGCCUAACUGCAAAAUAAGCCUUUGGGAAACACUGCAAAUUAAAGUUAUUUAUUUGAUUAUCUGGCUUGAAGAACUUUAAACAAAGUCUUAAUGAGGCAUUUCCAAUUAAAGAGUCCAUCUGACCAUCUGCCCUCUGACCAAGAUUUAGCUAAAUGCUAAUUCGACUUCACCUGGACUGCUAGUACUGUAAAUUUGGGUGAGCGAGGGGCGGGGGGAAAGGCAGUUGGAUUUACUUCUCUUAUUUGAAGGGGGCAUUUCACUGUUUACGUCGUCCUCGGUGUUGGAACCUAAGAUUCCUAGUCCCGUUUUUUUUCUCCAACAUGGGAUUUUCUAUGGAAGCGUCAAACCUACUAGAGUUAACUUGAUGGAUUAUUGUCAUAUGAUCUGGGUUACAAAGGUGAAAGUUGUACAUAAUUGCAAAAACACAUACCUUCCGAAUCUUUAUACAGUAUAAUCCACCCUCAUUCGAAGGCUAUUUUGAAAACUACUGUCAUUAUUAGACUGUUUUUGGAACUAAUAGGUUGAUGUGGUUUUUCUCAAAAUGCCUAUUGAAGUGUCUCAUGACUUCAGUGAAGCCGAGAAGGGACUGUGGUGGAACGUUAUGGUGAGGGUGUCUGUAUUAAAAAAAAUCUGACUUCUGCUGUUUACGUGAAUUUCAGAAAUCCCUUGUAUUCAGCCUUUACCUUUGAAACCUGGUUGUAUCUUUUAAGAGACUGUACUAUCUGCCCCAACAGUAGGUGAAAGCUACAAAUUGGUGUUGAUUUUUUUUAUUCACGACUGCAUCUGUUACAUGAGAUUCGUGUCUUAGCUAAAUUACUGUUUCAUAACUUGAGUGAAAGUUAAAACAAUCUUUUUCCUGCAUUUUUAUGAUUUCUGUAUACUUGAGUUUGUUAAAGAUUAAUAUGUUAGGUGAUACUGUACAAAACUGUAUGAAUAUUUACCUUUAGUGAAAAUCAAAAGUAAAAUUCAUAUGUAUUUCCUUUUUUACAUUUUCAUCUAAUUUCUUGACAACUUGAAUAAAUUUCAUAAAGAGCCUUUCUAACAUGAAAUAUUGUUAAAUUAAGUUCUUAACUGUUGCAAUAAUUAAUGAAGCUUUAAUAAUAUCAGUAUUGUUGGUAUUUUUAUAAUUUAAAACAAAUCAUGUUUCUGUUUCACACCGCUUUGUUUUUUAGCUGUCCUAUUGUCUCUGUUACAGCUAAAGAACCUUACUAAAUACUUGAUAUUACAAAAUACUUGGGGUUGUCUUCUGUAUACUGACAUUAAAUAAAAAUGUGUGAAUGAAUUGUAAAUGUAGAAAUUUUCAAUAGUCAUGAUCACAGCUGAGCUUUAAACCCUGGGUUUAACCAAAAAAAAAGUAGCUUUUUUUAAUGCUGAAAAAUUAAGGGCCACGUCAAUGUCAUAGGAAAACGUAACCCCAGAAAUUCCUACCUCCUAAUUUCCAAUUUGGAGUGUCUCCUAAUUAGAAAAUUGACUAAAACGUUGAGUUUUGAUGGCCAGGCACUUUCUGAGGUGUUAACUGUUUAUGCUAAAUCAAGCCUAGGGAAAACUGUUGAUUAAGGUUUCAGCUCUACUGUCAAGGUCAACCGUUUGAUUCACUUUCAAUAUUUCAAUUGAAAUAGGUCUGUGCGGUCCAUUUUCAGGGACCCGGUCUACUCACUCUCCCAAGGUGGGUGGAAGUAGGGCCACGUCAGAGCCGCGCCAGUUUCUAACCCCGCCGAAGCUCGGAGGGCUGCCCGCCGGGAGGUACAAGAAGCCUGACCCAGCUGGAAUUAACCUCUGGUCUUACUCAGGGAUGCCUGCCAGGGCAGCCCCCCUUCCCCCUUUCCUUUCCAUUCAUCCUGUUGCCAAAAAGACAAGACUUUCAGGAUCCUGCCCCACGUUUCAUUAUGGGACUUGUUCAACUUUCAGGUUGUCCUUUUCCGUUACCAGACCCCCCGCCUCCUCCACACAGCUGCCAGUCUAAAGAUCUGACCUGCUAGAUCUUUUUUACCCCCGCUAUACUUCCCAAGUGUUCAGUACAGUGCUCUGCCCCCAGUAAACUCCCAGUAAGUACGAUCGACUGACUCAACCCACUGCAUCAGUGAGCCUCAGGUCUUGGUGACCAUCUCUCCUCUCUGCAGGAUCGUUAAGGAUAAAAUACUCUUGGUACUUACAUAUGCUUCUUUCCCUGGGUGCUUUAGAUGAUCAUUCCUAAGUCUCCUCCCUGCAGAACCCUGGCUAGGGCUGUGACCACAUGCUAGAAAUGCGCUAGACUGUUCAGUGGCUCUGGGGUUGGAUGAGCAGCGAGUAGACUGUAAGAUCCUUGUGGGCAGGGAGUGUGUCUACCAACCUUGUACUUUCCCACGCGCUCAGUAGAGUGCUGUGCACACAGUAAAUCUUCAAAAAAUACUAUAGGUUGAGUGUUGAGCAGGUGCUCAAAUUUUGCAUCCCUGCCUUCUCCGAGUGAGCCAACACUGUAGCCCUCCCUCGGCAGCUGGUCGACAAAUUCAUUUUCCCCCCAAAGGGGGUGAGACCAGCUGGCUUUUAACCACAUCCUUGAGAGACCCCUUAAAAGGGAAAAGGCCCAGAGGCUGCAUCGACCCCUUUCGGCUGGGCGUGGCCUGCCACCGGGAAACUUGCUCUCCCUACCCCGACUCCCCACCCCAAACCCUCCCGUGAGGUAGCUGUGAAAUCCAUCCCUGAGGGAAUCAGGUCUGACCUUUGGGGAAACAAAGGUUAAAUUCAGAAGUGUGCGGGAUAGAUCCCGUGAUGGCAUCCAGCUUACAAGGAGGGUGCUCUCUUCUUUGACUUUUCUCUGAUUAGACUAGUGGAAACGGUAGAAAGGGGGCUGGCCUGGCUAGGAAUCCAGGGGCAGAGGUGGGACCCAGGCCCACCUAAGACUGGCUUCCUGUACUUCCUAGUAGGACAGUCGUUUGAGCUUUUUUGCAGGGAGGAGUCCUGAAGGCACCUGGGAGCAGACACCAGAGCUGCCAUCUGGCGUGCCCACACAUCUUCGGAGAAUGUCGGUUAUGGGUGUAUUAUCAUCCCAAAACCAGGCCAAUUCUCCAAGUGGAACUGUAGUAUAGCCAUCCCACUCCUGCUAGCCAACUUUCAGCCCAGGACAUGAAGUAAUGACAAUGGAGCCAGGAGCUGUUCUUCAGCCACAGAGCAUCACAAAUUCUAAACUGGCCGACCGCCAAUCUGGGAAUCACAGUCCUUAUCAGAAGAAUGAUGUGAUCGGUCUGUGUUCAGUGCUGACUUCUUAGCUAUUCCCCCAAGAAGAAUUUUCCUUUUUUAAAAAAUGCUUCUCUUGGUGUUGCAGUGAAAUUAAGAAACUGUGUUUCUUGAUUUUUACUAAAUUCAAUGUACAAAAAGAAACACAUCUAUACACAGUGUAAAAAUAAAACAUGUUGGACAAAAACCCCCACAGUAAGAUCAAUUGUUACAAAAUUGCCCUUCACUCCAGUUUGUUUUGCACUGAUUUUUUUUUUUUUUUUUUUACCUGAGGUGGUUAGAAGACAGCCUGAAAUGCACUUCUGGAGAUGGUCAUUACUUUUUGACUUAAAACCUGUAAAUCAGGAAAGAUGGAUGCUGCAAUCAUAGAUUUAUAAAAAAAUUAUUUGCACUUAAAUAGUUUAAUGCUAGUAGAAAAUUACUUUAAAUAUGGGUGUACAGACUCCCAGAAAAAGCUAUGUUGUGGAGAAAAAGAUAUCCUUUGUAUCUAUUAAACAUUUAUUUUAAUAUUGUUGUUUCCAAUUGCAAUCAGCUCUGUAUUAUAUGUAUAAAUAAUGUAACUCAGUGAUCGGGGAAAAUGGAAAUUUCACUAGUAAUUUUCAUCAUCAUUUAAGAAAGCGAUAUUUCUAAUUCAGAAAAAAACGUUAAUAUUAAACUAUCUUGAAUAUGCAGUUUGUUUACUUUGUUUAAAUUGGCUCAGUUUUGAUGUAAUUAGUCUUUUGUUGAAUUAAAUAUUUGGUACAGAACAAUUUU